UGAAUUGCUAGAUUGAUCACUCCCAGAAUUUAUAGGAACAACCUUAUUGCGCAAAUUCAUGGCAUUAUCAUCAGCCAUAAUUUCAAUAAAAAUAUAAAUUUACCUAAACUUGAGUCCCACCGGGCGUGCCAAAAUUAUUAGGUGUUGAAUUCCCUUCUCUUUGACACGGUCAAGGAUCUUCGUCGGGAAGCGCGUCGGGAUGCGGAACGGCUAUGAUUAGUAACCCUCGAAGUUUGCGCCAUUCGAUUGGAUCAAACGAUUCGGCUGAUGAGGGAUCGGAUCAGCCGAGUUCAAAGACAAAUAUUGUAGAAUAGGUUCGGCUGAAUGAGCCGAAUGAAUGAAAUGCACGAGAUUUGGGUCGGCUGAUGAGCCGAAUAGAUGGAAUAUACAGUGACUGGUCGGCUGAAAGAGCCGAAUGCCUUUAUAUAUUAAAAUGAAGUCGGGAACUCAUACAAAACAGAGUGUGCCCGAAGGGCAUACAGACUCUAAAAAUCUAGAUUACAACAGAGUGUGUCCGUAGGGCAUACAGACUCUAAAGAUCUAACUUAAAAUUACUCCUAGGAAAUCAGUAAAUGCGGGUACAAAGAUUACAUGUAGACUACUAGAAAGCGAUAAAUAUAGGAAAUGAAAGUAUUGAAAAUGCGGUAGUCUUCUCGUUUAGGAGAGAGACAGGCCCCUUUUACAGGCUUCAAAGUUAAUAUUUAUAAUAUCUUAUCAGCCAACAUUAUUGGUUGAUUAUAGUAGUGGGGAAAGUGGUGUAGCCAUGAUCAUGUUACACCGCACUUCUCAUGGAAGUUAUGCCUCACUUCUCAAUCGUUCCCGUCUAAACGCUCUUGACCUUCAGACGCCUUAUUGCCGACUCCUGGUGCACCACGUGUCCUUAUUUCUUUGGCUCAUACAUGGGUUAGGUUGGCGCGUUAAUUUUUUGAUUUCAACAGUUACAUUUUUCACAGCAAAGGUAAUUCUUGGAAAUUGUGUAUCUCACGUCUACAAAACUAAAAUUUUAUUGUCGUAUCUUUUAUAAUCCUAAUAAUUUUCGAUUAGUCUGACAAUAACUCAAUUUAUAAAGCGAUUCAAUUUACUCCUUUGAACUAGAUAAGUUAAAAAAUAAAAUUGAUCCAUUCUAAUUGUCAACCAUCAGAUCAGUGAACUAUUUCGAUUUUAAUAAACCAAUCGAUUUUUUUUUUAUCAACGUGGCGCCCUACUUCCUAUGAGACCAUCUAUUCUAGUACUACUCUAGUCUUAGACUGCUUAACUCUUUUAAACUCUUGGGUCUAACUACCGUCAAAAACGAUAUAACGGAUUAAGAAUUUUAGCCCAAUUAUAUUGACUCACAAAUGUCAGAAAUUAUAAGACUUAUCUCGUUAGCCUUAAUCGUUGAGGAGUUACGUACAGCAAGUGUAUGAAACUUAUAUAAAUUAUGGACUCUAAAUUUGGCUUUCUAAUUUUUUGAAAUUUUAUUUUUAUUAUCUAACUGUUCAAUUUUUUUAUUUGAGCCAGUCAACGACACUUUGACUUUAAAAUUUGAAUAUUUUAUUUAUCUUUACAUAUUUACAUAGCACAUUUCAUAUAACUCUUACAACUAUAUAUACGUCUAGUAAAAAAUGUAAUUAGCUUAAAAUUUGAUGUCAAAGCAUUAUUGACUUAUUCAAAUCAAACAAAUAGAAAGGUCGGAUAGUAAUAUCAAAAUUUUGAGG
rnacentral:lncRNA from 1 species